UACGUAGGGUGCAAGCGUUGUCCGGCAUUAUUGGGCGUAAAGAGCUCGUAGGCGGUCUGUUGCGUCUGCUGUGAAAACCCGGGGCUCAACUCCGGGCCUGCAGCCGAUACGGGCAGACUAGAGUUCGGCAGGGGAGACUGGAAUUCCUGGUGUAGCGGUGAAAUGCGCAGAUAUCAGGAGGAACACCGGUGGCGAAGGCGGAUCUCUGGGCCUUACCUGACGCUCAGGUGCGAAAGCUAGGGGAGCGAACAGG
rnacentral:rRNA from 1 species